rnacentral:siRNA from 1 species
CCCACCUCGCAUAUAAUCAAACU